CCUACGGGGGGCAGCAGUGAGGAAUAUUGCACAAUGGGGGAAACCCUGAUGCAGCGACGCCGCGUGAGUGAAGAAGUAAUUCGUGAUGGAAAGCUCUAUCAGCAGGGAAGAAAAUGACGGUACCUGAGUAAGAAGCCCCGGCUAACUACGUGACAACAGCCGCGGUAAUACGUAGGGGGCAAGCGUUAUCCGGAUUUACUGGGUGUAAAGGGAGCGUAGACGGCAGAGCAAGUCUGGAGUGAAAGGCGGGGGCUCAACCCCCGGACUGCUCUGGAAACUGUACGGCUUGAGUGCAGGAGAGGUAAGUGGAAUUCCUAGUGUAGCGGUGAAAUGCGUAGAUAUUAGGAGGAACACCAGUGGCGAAGGCGGCUUACUGGACUGUAACUGACGUUGAGGCUCGAAAGCGUGGGGAGCAAACAGGAUUAGAUACCCGUGUAGUC
rnacentral:rRNA from 1 species